rnacentral:rRNA from 1 species
AGUGAACGCUGGCGGUAGGCCUAACACAUGCAAGUCGAACGGCAGCACAGUAAGAGCUUGCUCUUGCGGGUGGCGAGUGGCGGACGGGUGAGGAAUACAUCGGAAUCUACUUUUUCGUGGGGGAUAACGUAGGGAAACUUACGCUAAUACCGCAUACGACCUACGGGUGAAAGCAGGGGAUCUUCGGACCUUGCGCGAUUGAAUGAGCCGAUGUCGGAUUAGCUAGUUGGCGGGGUAAAGGCCCACCAAGGCGACGAUCCGUAGCUGGUCUGAGAGGAUGAUCAGCCACACGGGAACGGGGACACGGUCCAGACUCCUACGGGAGGCAGCAGUGGGGAAUAUUGGACAACGGUCGCAAGCCUGAUCCAGCCAGACCGCGUGUGUGAAGAAGGCCUUCGGGUUGUAAAGCCCUUUUGUUGGUAAAGAAAAGCAGCAGGUUAAUACCCCGCUGUUCUGACGGUACCCAAAGAAUAAGCACCGGCUAACUUCGUG